UGUAUUUCAACAGUCUUUCGUCAUUUGCUUUUUCAGAAAGGGAGAAUAUCCUCCGUCUUCUUCCAUCCCUCUCACUGUGUACAAGCAUCCAAAUAAGUUUCACCUUUUAGCUGUUGAUUCUACUUGAAUCUCCUACAGAAGGAUAAUUUAGGGUCCAACUAUUUUGGUGGAGUGUCCAAGUCAUGAGAGACAAUGCCUGUAUAUACUAAGGACUUGGAUUCAGCAUUCCAGACUGCAGGAGCAAAGCCAGGCAUAGAAGUUUGGUGUAUUGAGAACCAGCAUUUGGUUUCGGU